rnacentral:lncRNA from 1 species
AUGGGAGCCUGGUUUAGCUUGGAGCUGGCUGGCUUGUCCCAGCAGCCCCUCCCUAGGCCCCUAGUCCAAAGCCUACUCCCUUUAGGCGCCCUGGCUACCAGCUCUGCUCCUCUAGCAUCAACCCACGGGGGCGAAACCCACUCCUCUCUUGUUCAAUGAGUUAGCUGUGUCUCAGAGGAAGCCACUUAUCCCAAAGUUGGUUGGAAGGUAACUAGGUUUUUAUUGAAACUCUAAACACUCAUCUAAGGUGGGCCCAUAGUUGGAGAGGUUAACCUCACGUGUACAGAGAGGUAUUUUUAAAAACAGAAUCGUGAGGGUUUUCUUUUUUUGAUUUCCAGGUUUACUUGUUUUGUUGGAGCAGACAGGGCAACUAUUUUUGUUUGUUUAUUUGUGUUGAGGAGGGAUGAGCCACGACAUGGGUGUGGAGGAGAGAAGCAGCUUUCUGGAGUCAGUUCUUCCACCAUGGGGGCCUUGAAAUCAGAUUCUCUCAGGUUUAGCGACCCACGGAGCCAGCUCACCUUCCAACUUUAAUUUUUAUUGAAAGAUAACUGGCGAAACGUAAUUUUCCUAAAUGGCCAGACUGUAAAUAAUCUUCCCACCCCUUCCCCUUUACUUUCAAUAUCCUUUUCAGUUUCCUGGGUGACACAAAUAUUUGAAGUAACGCCUCUCCGUCCCGCCUGUGCUGGGCAAAUGGCUCUGCUACCAACCCACAGAACCACAGAAAAGGAAAAUGGCUGCAAACACCCCUAUCUUCCUAGUCAGAAGACUCUUUAAUACUUCUGUUUUGCCCUCUUAGCCUCACCCCACCUCCUGGAGAUGACUGAUAAAACCAGGCUAAGCUUCUUGAUUAAAGCCCCUGUCUAAACUGGGCAGUGGUGGCACGUGCCUUUAAUCUCUGCACUUGGGAGGCAGAGACAGCAGAUUUCUGAGUUCAAGGCCAGCCUGGUCUAAAGAGUGAGCUCCAGGACUUCCAGGAGACAGAGAAACCCUGUCUCGAAAAACAAAACAAACC